rnacentral:tmRNA from 1 species
GGGGUUGACUGGAAUUGACGGGAAGCUAAAAUCCAAUGUAAGCAUGCGAGGUGUUGUAAGUAUUACCUCUAAAUAAAACUUACACAUUGAAUAAAUGGCAUCUUUGCUAUUAUUAAUUCUCGCCGUGAAGAGGAAGAGGAAGAAGGAGGGGAAGAAGGAGUAUUCCGCAUGGCUGCUUAGUCGAUAGACUAAGGGGAGUUUGUCUCUCUGACUUUUGUUCUAUGGGGUCAGGAUAGAGGCAUCGUUACAUAGGACUGGUGUAGGAUAGGUUACGUGAUGGCUACACAAGAUUUAAUCGCGUAUACGUAUAACAUGAGGUAAGUUCACUGGCCUUGGUUAUAUCGACAAUAAACAGUAACUAAGCAUGUAGAAAGCGUUGCGGUUUUCUUGUUCGGACGAGGGUUCGAUUCCCUCCAACUCCAC